rnacentral:rRNA from 1 species
AACGAACGCUGGCGGCAUGCCUAACACAUGCAAGUCGAACGAGACCUUCGGGUCUAGUGGCGCACGGGUGCGUAACGCGUGGGAACCUGCCCUUAGGUUCGGAAUAACUCCCCGAAAGGGGUGCUAAUACCGGAUAAUGUCUUCGGACCAAAGAUUUAUCGCCUUUGGAUGGGCCCGCGUUGGAUUAGCUAGUUGGUAGGGUAAAAGCCUACCAAGGCGACGAUCCAUAGCUGGUCUGAGAGGAUGAUCAGCCACACUGGGACUGAGACACGGCCCAGACUCCUACGGGAGGCAGCAGUGGGGAAUAUUGGACAGUGGGCGGAAGCCUGAUCCAGCAAUGCCGCGUGAGUGAUGAAGGCCUUAGGGUUGUAAAGCUCUUUUACCCGGGAUGAUAAUGACAGUACCGUGAGAAUAAGCUCCGGCUAACUCCGUG